rnacentral:ncRNA from 1 species
UUGGUAGUGGAUUAGAGUUUCUUAGUAUUCCGAUAAAUAUAAAGCGAUGUGAGGCAUGGAUGCCGAACAAGGCGCGGUGCGACAAGGAAGUCGCAUGAAGCCGUUCGCGUAUUGUAAAAUAACGUAUACGGAAUACUUAGAAACUCUUAUUCACGGA